rnacentral:rRNA from 1 species
GAUGAACGCUGGCGGCGUGCUUAACACAUGCAAGUCGAACGGAGAAAGGGUAGCUUGCUAUCUUUUCUUAGUGGCGGACGGGUGAGUAACGCGUGGGUAACCUGCCCUUUGCAGGGGGAUAACAGUGAGAAAUCACUGCUAAUACCGCAUACCAACUUCUUUCGCAUGAAGGAAGUUUGAAAGAUUUAUCGGCAAAGGAUGGACCCGCGUUGGAUUAGCUAGUUGGUGAGAUAACAGCCCACCAAGGCAACGAUCCAUAGCCGGCCUGAGAGGGUGAACGGCCACACUGGGACUGAGACACGGCCCAGACUCCUGCGGGAGGCAGCAGUGGGGAAUAUUGCACAAUGGGCGAAAGCCUGAUGCAGCGACGCCGCGUGAAGGAUGAAGGUCUUCGGAUUGUAAACUUCUAUCAGCAGGGAAGAAAGGGCUUAUAGCCUAUGACGGUACCUGACUAAGAAGCCCCGGCUAACUACGUG